AAGGAGGGAAGUGCACGCGCGGCGCCCGCGUAGCUGACCCGGGUUCGGGGAGGUGGGGAGAAGACUGAGCGCGGACUUAGGGGGCGGGGCAGCAUGGGGUUGGGCGGUGCGAACUAAGGGAAUAAGGGGAAGGGGGCGUGUUUUCCGGGAUUCGGGACCUAGAAGGUGGGGGGUACUCGGGGACGGGCAGAUGGCCGGGAGCUCCCGGGAAAGUAAAAAGAGGGGCGCGCGGAGGGCGAGCUCUGCGCUUGGGGCUCCCACAGGUCGGGGAAUAAUGCAAGGAGGAGAAGAAGACAGAGCUCAGGGAUACCAGGGGACGCGGGCAGCGGCGGCUUCUUCAAGACACCGAGGGAGAAGAAGGGACGGGAAGGGGGGUGGGGAGGAUGGUACUUCCACCCGCCCCCCUCCAGCCCGGGGGCGUGGCGCCGCCCCGGCCCUCCCACUCCCCCGGACCAUCCAGGUUGGGCCUGGCCGGGCCAGACUCGGCCCCCGCACACCUCCCGGGCCUCCGGCGCCGUCCCCCGUACCACCCGCCCCAACCGCCUCCGGUGGAGAAGGAGUAGGCGCAAGGCCCACACGUCCCUCAAACUUGUUGCAAGUUCACUCCCACGCCUCCCGCCCCUUCGACUCCCAGCUCCGGAGCCGGGAAGGCCCAUGCCCGCCCCGGCCCCUCCCGCCUGGUUACAUAAGGUCGCAGAGAAGCCGCCCCCGGCCCGGGCCUGCAGUGAGGGGCCGGAGGAGUUCCUGGGCUCGGCGGGCAGCGCCGCUCCGGCCAUGUGCCCAACGUCUCGGGCUAGACUGACAGCGGGGCGGGUGGCGGGGCGGCGCACACACUCCCUGUCCCCUCUUCAGCCGGCACCCCCAUCCACCCACCUGUCUCCCGGACCCACAGAAUCAGGGCGGGGGAGCCUGGGUCCGGGGUUCCCAGCCUUCCGCUCACCCUUUGGCCCUCGGUCCCUCUCACCUAUCUCUGAAGGUCAAUCCGUCCGCCGCCUGUCCCCCGCGGCUCCGGCAACUUGUCCCAAGUUCAGGUGUCCGGCCCGCGAGCUGCGCCUGCCGCCCCCUCCCGGACUCCUCCGGCUCCGCGCCACCGGGAAGGCCCGCCCUGCCCGCCCUUUCACGCUGCCGUCGGCGCCGCCGCCGCUCCCUAUGUCCAGCCCGCGGCCGCCGCCUCCGCUGUCACCGAGCCCCGCGCCCGGCGCCAGGGCUCCCACUGUCAAUCCGCACCCACUUCCCGCCGCGCCCGGCAGAGGGCAGCACACGCCCCCCGCGGUCCCGCCCCGCCCUGCUCCGCCCCUCGAGGGCCUACCGCGGCGCCCGCGGGGAAAUGUAGUCCCUCCCGUCGGUUCUGCCAGGCACGCCGGGAUUUGUAGUCCCACUCUGCGGGCCCUGGCCUGGGUACGGGGGACUUGGCAUUUAACUUGGAACUUAUGUCGCACUUCGUUUCUGCCCCUUUUGCAAGUUUUUUUCUCUUCUUAGUCAGUGAUGCCACGCACUCCAGCUCCCUAUGUACACCCUGUGGCCUCUCUGACUCCAAGGAGAGGCCUGCAGGAGGCUGUCUUGCCUGGAGUCUAGGAAGGAUAUAGGGUCCGAGAUAGUGUGCUGUUGCUAUAGAAACUACUGCAUGGCAAACCUCAGUUUCCCUCAUGUUUGGGAGUGGAAUGCCAGACUUGGAUCUCGUGCUUUCACCCCUGCACCUGAACAUAAGGGACAAGGCUGGGGUCAGGCUGAUCAAGGACAGCAUGGAAAAAGAUGUCCAAGGAGCCUCCCUCCCUCCCAUUGUGAGUUUUCCAAUUAUACCCCUCCUCAAGCCUCAUCAGUCCUACCUGGCUGGUGACCCCCACCACCAUGCUACAGGGAAACAUUUUUCAGAUCUGCUUCAUAUCAUUCCCCUGUUGGAAGUUACAUAGCUCUGAGCUACCCUUCUCUGCUUUCCCCACUUCCUCCUCUGCCCAGUACCACGUAGCCCCAGAUCUGUGGGUCUUUGGCGGGUGGCUCCUAAGGAGAACAGGAAUGAAAUCUAGAGGGAGAAAACAUCUCUUGUUCACUUCGUUACAACAAAUGGGCUUGAUUUCCCGGUGAUUCCAAGUAGCUAUUGCUCUUGUCCACAAUUAAGGGCCAGCCCUUCUUCAAACAGACCCUUGGGGCGUAAGGGUCUAGGUGUAAAUAUGAUCAGUUUCACUCAACCCAGACCUUCUGACGCCCUCUUGGAAACAGGUUCUGGUAGCAUCACCCUCCUCCCGGAAGGACCCAUGAUUGCCACGAGUGCACACAGGCAUCCAGCAUCUCUCAGAAAUUCCCAGUGCAAACCUGAUCACAGAGACAAGCUGUGAAGAGACUCCAAGCUCUGAGGGGUAGAGGGACCAUUCCCCGAGCCCUACCUCAUGCCCCAUCCCUCUUAGAAUCUCAGUAACCCUCCUCCCCCCUCCCACCCCCGGCCACCACAAACCUCCUAGCCGCUCAGGGAGAACAUGGUCCAGUAGAGGCAAAUCUACGCCUGACUCCCACUCUUCCCCCCCAUUCUUGUGAUAGGAGCUGCCUUGCAGGCCACAACUGCCCUCUAAAAACAACACGCUGGCCAACAUGGAAAAGAACUAUUUAUUGUGAGAGAAAACCCAAAAUCUAGAAAAAGAAGGCUGAGUCCAGAGAAGAAGCACACAGAGAAGCUUGGGGUGGGGGAUCUAGAGGAAGAAGGGAGCCCAGGCGUCCAGGCACUCAGUCUAGGCGGCAACGGCAAAGCCCACCCUCUUGUUGCCAAUGUCGAAGAUGGAAUAGUAGGACCUGAGGAAGACGUCUCCGAGGAUCCACAGGGGCUGGCCACUGCUAGAGGGCAGCCUCGUGCCCGAGAAGGGGUUUGGAAUCGGUGGGUGGACAACGUGAGGCAGCAUUGCCAGGAGCUGGGAAAUGGCACGUGGUGAGGAGACCCAGCGCUUCCGGCUCCCAACCCCUCCUCACGCCCAGUCACAUCCCUGCAGACUUACUCUGAAGAGCAUCUCCGUCUGACCUCCCAUGAGACGGUGAGGUCUGUGAGGUUCCAACCCGGCUCAGAGCCCCAGGGACAGUCCCCACGUCCCGGGGCAGGGAGCAGCCUGCCACGUGGCUCACCCUUAGAGUGUCAUAGCCGUAGAUGCCGCGGAGGCCGCCACUGCCGUAUCGCACGGAGAAGAUCUGCCCGUUGCUGGAGGAGACUCUCAAUGAGAACUUUGUGAAGAGUGGAGAGAGUGGAAGAGAAAGAAUGUUGUAGAUGCUGGUGGGAGGGAAUGGCCUUAUCUGCAGUGAACAGAAUGGAGCAGAGAGAAGUGGGCUGGAUCAAGCAGAAGGGUCAGGCUGGAGCAGGUGAAGGAACCCUCUGCACAUGUGUGGGUGAGAGGGAAGGCAAAGUAAUCACCCAGCUCCACGGCCGGCCUCUUCUCCUCUCUGUCUUGCACACGCCCCUUGAUCCUGGCCAAGUUCCUGACUCUCAGGAUUGAAGUGCCCCGGUCUCACAGUCCCUCACCGGCCACCUGUCCUUGCAAGCCCAGCACUUACCACAGGCCUGGCUCUGGCAGUGGACAGAGGGCACCCACAGGCUGGAGGAACCAGUAUCAAAAAGGACAAGGAAGUUCUGCGGAGGAGUCCCAAUGCUGAUCUCACCAAGGAGGAAAGCAAUCCUGCCAUCCGGGGUCUGUUUGGAC